ensembl:lncRNA
UUCUACUCCCAAGGUGCACUAUGCCAAGUAGUUUGCCAGUAAUCACUGUGUACAGUGGCUCGGUUCAAAUCUAGGCCAAAGUUCUACAUUUGUUAGAGUUUAGGAUCAGUAAUGGCAAAGCCUUAAGUCAAUAGUGGCGAUAUACCAUCCUGUUUGUGGAGGGGGAGAGGGAAGGAAAGUGAAGAGGAGUUGGGAGUUCUAGUUACUCAAACAUUGGUGGCUAAUAUUUAUGUCAAUCGAGAGUGUGGCGCUUAAGAAUGUGACCGGAUGAAAAACAAUCCAUAGACUGCAUUAGAAAUCGCAAGGGAUACAUAGUGAUACAUAGGUACUACACAGGGCGACGCAGGUAGUGUCAGCAUGUUGGUGGUGUGUGUUGCUGUGAUCUUCAGCCUGGUCUCGGUGAGUCAGACGGCUCCUUCUUCUCAAGACUGCGAGAAACUCCUCAAACCCCUGGACAUGGAGACCAAUGAUCUGCUCCUAGGGAAUUGGUCUUUGGUGGCUGUCAGCAACAAUCGACCAGGCGCCAGGACUCUAAGUGAAGUUCUGUUAAUUAACGCCCGAUGGGACAUUGUACGCUGGGAAAAGAGCGACGUACUGAAAAGCACCAUUUGUGUGAAAUAUCCCGAUAGGACCACUGGGCCAAGAAAUAACAUCUCUUUGCUGAUUAGUGAAAAAUGUCUCAGUUACAGUUUCAACAUGACUCUUGAAGACAACAAGCUUAGCUGGAUGUCCGGAGUGCCUUCCACUGCCAUUUUCCUGCCCACUUGUCCAGACUGUCUUUUGACCCAGACUACAACCUCCAUCAAUGGAAACACCUACAUCUCUCUGGAACUCUACAGUGAAAGAAGGGAACUCACUACUGAUGAACUCUCUCAGUUUAAAACACAGGUUGAAUGUCUCAAAAUGCCACCUGUGUAUUUCAUCAACACAACAACAGAGCUCUGUCCAGACUAUGUCGGAGUAGAACCCCAGAUGAAUUUCACACCCAACUUCUUCCGUGAAAUUCUGGACUUCAUGGAGAGAAAUAUUGUCAAGGUGUCGAUGAGAAUCAUUGAUUUCCUCAUCGAGAAGGGAGAGCACCAGGGUUUGUUAAGACCUGGAGAUGUCAGAGCCUCAGUUUUGAGCCUGUUGGAAUUAAUACGUUUUUUUGUAUUUAACUGAAGAUCUGUUUUAUGUUCUCAGUUGAAACCUUACAGUACAUCAUUUUAAUCUGCCCAAAUACUUUUGGAACCCUAAAAUAGGUGAACUAUGACCCACCCAUCAUUGUAUCAUUUUAAAUCCAAAGAUGCAAAAUAAAGCCUGAAAAUGUUUUAGUUCACUUUGACUUUCUAUUAAUAUAUAUAUAUAUAUAUGCAUUUUAUGUAUGAGGUGAGAUGAGAGAUAUGUAUGUCUACAUAAAACCAAAAUCAUAAUUAUUGUUGUAAUUAUUUAAUAUCUGUUAAAAAAAUAUAUGUAUAUAUACAUUUUUUACUGCGUUAAUACUCCUGUGUGUGUUAUCCCAGAGGAGCAGGACCUAAUGCCAAGACCUUGCAUGUACAGUACAUUGCUGUAAAUAAGUAAUCCAAUCAAUGGUUAAUCUAAUAUAUGGUGUUUUCAGUCUGAACUUGUUUUUGUUAAAAAAAAAAUUGGGUUCAACUGUGUUUUUAUGUUGCCCCAAUAACCAAUGAGUCGUACAAAUGCCAUGAAGCCUUUUUACCAGUUAAAACAACUGAAAAUGUGUUGUAAUCACAGUUGUAUAUAGAACAUUUACAUUUCCUCUGAUGACCAUCAAUAGAUAUCAGCCAAUAUAUGGAUGUAAUCUACAGCUCCAUUAGGUUGAUAUCAAACCUUUCUUUACGUCUAAUGAUUUUACAUUUCAAGGGACAUUAUACCUAUAUAAGCUACACUUUCUUGUUCAGAUGGGGUGAGAGGAUUUUGGCUUUGUGAC